CCCACAAGGCCUUUACUGACGCUAAAGCUCGAAGGUGCGGGUAUCGAACAGGAUUAGAUACCCUGGUAGUCCGCACGGUAAACGAUGGAUGCCCGCUGUUGGCGAUACAAUGUCAGCGGCCAAGCGAAAGCGUUAAGCAUCCCACCUGGGGAGUACGCCGGCAACGGUGAAACUCAAAGGAAUUGACGGGGGCCCGCACAAGCGGAGGAACAUGUGGUUUAAUUCGAUGAUACGCGAGGAACCUUACCCGGGCUUGAACUGCAGCAGAACGAUUCAGAGAUGAAGAGGCCCUUCGGGGCUGCUGUGGAGGUGCUGCAUGGUUGUCGUCAGCUCGUGCCGUGAGGUGUCGGCUUAAGUGCCAUAACGAGCGCAACCCCUUUCAUUAGUUGCCAUCAGGUAAUGCUGGGCACUCUGGUGAUACUGCCACCGUAAGGUGUGAGGAAGGUGGGGAUGACGUCAAAUCAGCACGGCCCUCACGUCCGGGGCUACACACGUGUUACAAUGGGUGGUACAGAGAGUCAGUGGGUCGCAAGUCCCAUUCAAUCAUGAAAGCCAUCCUCAGUUCGGAUUGGGGUCUGCAACCCGACCCCAUGAAGCUGGA
rnacentral:rRNA from 1 species